rnacentral:rRNA from 1 species
AUACGGAGGGUCCGAGCGUUAAUCGGAAUUACUGGGCGUAAAGCGCGCGUAGGUGGUUCAGUCAGUCAGAUGUGAAAGCCCCGGGCUCAACCUGGGAACUGCACCUGAUACUGCUGAGCUAGAGUACGGUAGAGGGCAGUGGAAUUUCCGGUGUAGCGGUGAAAUGCGUAGAGAUCGGAAGGAACACCAGUGGCGAAGGCGACUGCCUGGACUGAUACUGACACUGAGGUGCGAAAGCGUGGGUAGCAAACAGGAUUAGAUACCCUGGUAGUCCACGCCGUAAACGAUGUCAACUAGCCGUUGGGGGACUUGAUCCUUUAGUGGCGAAGCUAACGCGAUAAGUUGACCGCCUGGGGAGUACGGCCGCAAGGUUAAAACUCAAAUGAAUUGACGGGG